GGGGGCGAAACGAUUCGACAGAAAGGAAAUGAAAGAAGCAGCAUGCCGAGUUUGAGGAAGGGCUCGUAAAAAUCCUCAAAAAAUCAUCUGGCGAAACAGCAAAUUAUCUCCCUGCCUAAUUUAGGUUAGGAGCCCGUUGUAGUCUUUGUCUGUGGGACUAUGAAUGGGUCGGAUAACAGACUGGUUCUAUCCUAUUUGGUUCUGGUGGGGUGGAAUGAGAGCAAAAGACCUGCUCUUUCGGAAAUUCUGUUUCUGGAAGUUCCGUAAAGAAAAGAAAAAAACAGAAACUAAGCAUGAAGAUACUUCUUUCAGUGUCUUUUCUGGACCCGGGCUCAUUACCCGGCGCCUCCACAA
rnacentral:tmRNA from 1 species